CUGGGAAUCAAACCAGUGACGCUUUGGUUUGCAGGGCUGUAUGCAAUCCAUUGAGCCACACUAGCCAGGGCCUCCGCUAUUGAUCCUUUAGAAAAGGUUUAAAAAAAUGUUUACUGUCUCUUUUGUGCUUUCAGUUUUGAGAUGUUAAGUAGAUUAUAUCCAGGCUUCUCUGCUUUUCAUACUCUUCAGGGAGAUAGAGUUGUUUCAAAAUUACAAGCUUUUCUAAAGAUGAAUAAAAUAAUUUUCUGGCUGGUAUGUUAAAUAUGUGCAUGCCAUAUGAAGGACAUUUUGCUUUCAUGGCAUGCUUUAGAGUAUGAAUGAAUCAUAACACUUUCGCCUUCUGUACCUACUUAAUUUUCUGGCAGAGAUCCUUUUCAAUUGUUAAUGCCUAAAGGACAUCUCUUGAAAACUAAGUAUUCAGAUUUUAAGGGAGACAUUUAUCACUUUAAGUUCUUUGUCCAUCCUGAGCUCUUUUAUCUCAGGUCUGCUUGUUCUCCCUUUGGUCUUUGAUACAGCUAUUCUCUCAGUACUGUUGCUGGAGCACAGGUCUGGGUUUCAGUUUUUUAUUGGGACCCCUCCCCCAUCCUUCAUCCUCCAAAUGCAGACAUCAGGGUUUCCUUUGCUGCUGUACUUCUCUUUUUCCCUUUUAGCCCAGAAGACACACACGCUUUUACUACAUAGGGUGCAAGAGCCAUUCAUCUUAUUUUUAUUUUGAGUUAUAGAAGCAGUAACAGUCGAGAGUAUAGAUGGGGCUGCUUUGGCUUUCUAGAAACGUUAUAGGAAAGAAGUGAGCCAAGGCAGGGCUGAUGUCAGUUCCCUGGGACGUCAGAGGAAAGGGGACCUUGGAGACACAAUCAGGGGGUUAGCCUGGGAUGAGCUACUGCUGCCCAUUGCCCCCCUGGUUGCAAGUAUUCUGGAGACCCUUAGAGUUUAGGAGAAAGGAAAAUCACUUCAAAAGGAGAUACAAGUGGAGGGCAUGCCAAGAGUCAUUCAUCUUUUAUACAGGGAUCCUACCUCUCAGUAUUAACAGUUUCUCUGAUAAUCAUAAAAUGGCAACAUUCCCGAAGUCUAAACUAUUGACACUCCCUUCCUAAGUUUAUCUUGCCUUUAUCAUCAAAGGAUAAAAUACUGUUUUCCUCAGCACCUGGGAAAAUGGCUUCAAUAUGUUCUCUUAUCCUGGCAGUUCUCUUUUAGUGCAGAAUGGCUCUCUGUGAUGGUGAAUCUUUUCUCUUUAUUGUAUUUAUCCUUCUUUUUAGUUAUUUUGUGAAAUGUUUAUGAGGUAAUCAUCAAGGGAUAAAAGAAAACUAAAUGUGAGAGAAAGAUGGCAGCAUUUUAUUGAAAAGUAUAGUUCUUAUUCUGCCAUUUUUUAAUUUAACAGAUCUUCCUCUUUUGAAGAAGUAUUCUCUUUUAAUACUAUUACAUUUAUCUCAGGGAGUAAAGAUUUCUCUAUAUGUCAGUUCAGAUGUAUGCAUAUAAAAUAUAUUCUGAUAAGAUUCCAAACUGCCAGUUUCAAACAUCCAUGCCUGAUAACUAAUAAUUCGUCUAGAGAUUUUUUUUAAGUGUCUGUAAAUUUAAGAAAAAACUAUUACUGGUGACACUGUAGAUAUUUUUACUGAAGUGAAUUUUAUAAUUACAAGGUGAAUUUUAUAGAGAGUUUUAGUUUUAUGAUUUGCAGAGUACCCUUGCUCCCCCCCCCCCCCCAACUUUUUCUCAUGAUAGUGUUGUGUUACCCCUAAAAUAAUUUUGCAUUCUUUCCAUUGACAUGGUGAUUUGGGACACUUGCUUUCAUGCAAGCCAGAAAUAAAUUUAUUGUCUUAAGUUUCUUCUCAUGUGGGUCUUUGGAGGAGUUUCAACAGUCUCCAGUCAACUGAAGAUUCCAUUGUCAUUAUGUCUGUCAUCUGGAUUGUUUUUCACUGAGAAAGGGGGACUUCAGAGCUACGUAGUUCAUCA